rnacentral:misc_RNA from 1 species
CGAAAUGCGAUAAGUAGUGUGAAUUGCAGAAUUCAGUGAAUCAUCGAAUCUUUGAACGCACAUUGCGCCCCUUGGUAUUCCAUGGGGCAUGCCUGUUCGAGCGUCAUCUACACCCUCAAGCUCUGCUUGGUGUUGGGCGUCUGUCCCGCCCCCGCGCGUGGACUCGCCCCAAAUCCAUUGGCAGCGUUCCUUGCCCCCUCUCGCGCAGCACAUUGCGCUUCUCGAGGGCGGCUCCGGGACGCGAUCCAGCAAGAUGACCACCGUCUUUGACCUCGGAUCAGGUAGGGAUACCCGCUGAACUUAAGC